ensembl:lincRNA
GCUGGAACAGAACCCUGCAACUGGAAAGGGAAUGCCUGAAGACCAUAGCAACGGAUUCCCCGGAGUUCUGAUGGCUAGAGGUCUGGCAUCAAGUGGUCAGCCGGAAGAGCCUAUUCCACACCUCUGCCUGCCUUUCUCUUGUCAGCUCUCAACACUCCUUGGCUUCUAGACUUUUCACUUGAACCUCUGCCUCCACGUGUGUCUGUGUCCCAUGGGGCCUUCUCCCGAGGAUGCCAGCCAUGGACUUAGGGCCCGCCUUAAUCCAGUGUGACCUCAUCUUAAGUAAUCACAUCACAAGAACUUAUGUUCACGCAAGAUCACAUUCUAUAGUUGCAGGUGGACCUGAGUUUUGAGAGACAAGGCUGUUCACCCCAGGCCAUUGGGUCAAGUUGUUUUUUAAGUCCUUGUGGCAUGUAGGAUCUUAGUUUCCCUGACCAGGGACGGAACCUGCACCUCCUGCAUCGAGAGGUGGAGCCUCUGGACCACCAGGGAAGAGACUGGACCACCAGGGAGACCCCCACUGGGUCAAGUUUCUGAGACAGCUGUUUAAGGACCAAAACAUUCCUGUUUGGGGUAAUUCCCAGGAUUCUAUAAAACCUAGGUGGAGGGGAUCAGAGAUGCAAGUACUGACAGUUGUUUGGAAUCAACGAGAUGAAAGCUCUUGUCAGAGGCCUGGGGAAUCAGGAAGUCUACUGACAAUCAUGAGUCCUUUACAUGAAGAUUGAGAAAUGGACGUUUCACAAAACCUGGCAAAGAGGAGACGAUCGCUUUUGGCUUGGGAUAAAUCUGCAAAUCCACUCCUGGGACACUGGAAGCCUCAGAAAAUGCACAGUGCCAGUGGAUAAUUCAUCCUCUGAUAACGAGGGCAUCGACCGUCAUUUUUUCCUCUCCUCCUGCCAUCUUUCUUUAAGUGACUUAUCAAGUGAGAGCCUGGGCUGGGCAGCUGGCGUUGAGAGUGUUUGCGGACCCUUCCCUCGUGGCCUCUGGGGGCCGACAGCUGGCUUUCAUUAUGCGUCAGACUGCGAAGCACACCAAAAAGAAAGUGGUUGAGAUGAAUAAGAAGGGAGCUCGGGUGAGGCUGCGGUUUGUUCCUGGGGGUGUCAAGGUGAAGAAUCCAUCCUGCUCUUCAGACCACUGUAAACUUAAUCCAUUUCAUCAUACACACGAGUGAAAUUCAGCAGUGUUUUCUUAAGAAUCUGUGUCGCUUUUAUUUACUGUGGGAGAGGCCCCGGGUCUUUCUUCUUGCUUUCCUAGAACACUAAUGCACUUUAUAUGUCCUUUAAUCUCAGUUCCAGUUCUGUCAAUAUUUGAGCUUAUCUUAAAACGAAGAACUCCAAAGGAGGUCAAAGAAAGUCAAUUCUCACUCCGGAAGGCAAAUACCAAUUAUUUCAUUAAACGUCCAGAUCACAAAGCGCCCCGUGGACCAGACUUUGAUCCAAACAAGAGGGUGCAGGCUGCCCCAAAUCCUUCCUUUUGUGAUGAACGCUUAAAAACUCCCAAGUUCUCUAAUAUGGGGCUCAUGAAAUUCAGUGACAAGAAACGGUACCAUCUCUGCACGUGUUUCUGGAGUGUCUACUCCUGAUGGAGAGAGAUGGGAAGCCGGGGCCUUGCACUGAGCCCGGGUUGGUCUGCUCUGUAUCCCUGAUAAACACCCCUGGGAAGAGUCGUGCACCAACUCCCAUCUCCCACGAGCCAAGCAAUCCGCAUCACCCGCGAUCCUUCGCACCGUGAUGCAGACAGACGUGCAGGCUCAGGGGCAGUGCAUGACUAGGAGCUCCGCCAGACUCAUCAGCCUUGUCCGUGUAUCUGAACAGGUAUAUAGUUUCCCACAAGCUUCUGUUAGGGGAGCCACACUGCCAGAAACUGCCCACCCGGGCCAGACACCAUCGUAACCAUCUGCGUGAGUUAUUUCACGACAGUAGGUCCUGGAAAGGAACAUGGGACUGACAAGCCACCACCAACCAGAAAAGCUCCAGAAGGGUCAAAAGGGGACUCCGCGUAUCCUACCACCUCCCAGAGUCCUUCUCGAUGGCAUCCAUCUCGGCGGCACAAGGCGUGCACCCCCAGGAAGGACUUUCGGUCAUAACGAUUGGGCAAAGACAACCCGGAAUCUAAACCCAUCACCACAAACCCUGAGACCGUGAGCCACGUGGGGAGCCUCCUGGGUUCCCUCGCCCUCCUGCCUCCUUCUGGGAGCCCCUUCCCAGUAAAGGCUCUUCUUUGUCAGUGCGUGUGUCUCCUCGGACAAUUUAUUUCCAAAUGCUGGACAAGGGCCCUUUGUGCAGCACUUCCAAUUUCAUAAACUCUGGAGAUAACGUUCCCUUAAUGACGGCGAACUCAGCCUCAACCAAGGCCUGGAUAAAGACAUCCUUUUGAUUCACCUACUGUAGCUCUUCAGACAAUAGGCGGGUGGCCAGGUGCGGCAAGUGGGUGUUCGCUGUGAAGGGGGCUUCCACACUCUAUGGGACGAGAAAAUACACGUCUACACAGAUAAGCCCGGUGGCGCUGGUCGUAAAGAACCCUUGUGCCAGUGCAGGAGACAUAAGAGAUGCAGGUUCAAUCCCUGGGUCGGGAAGAUCCCCCGAAGGAGGGCGUGGCAACCCACUCCAGUAUUCCCGCCUGGAGAAUCCCAUGGACAGAGGAGCUUGGCGGGCUGCAGUUACAGAAUAGUAAAGAGCGCACAUGACUGAAGUGACUUAGCACGCAGCACAGGGGGCAGGAAAAUACACUCCUGCACAGACAAGCAUUUACACAAACACAUCCUGCUAAAAGCGGAGGCGCCCAGAGGUUUCUCACAGGCCCCCCGUCCUCUAGGGGGAGAGUGAAGAGACGCAAACAUUCUUUCAGCCUAAUAACCCAGGGGGCUGCUCCGAUGGCUUCUGUGAACGUGCAGUUAGCCUGCAGAUUCUACACUCCCGGGGCAGAUUCCACACUCUGUCUCUCUUCUGUUCUCCUCCUUUGGACUGGGAGAGACUGGCUCCAUCCUGCUGGGAAGCAAUUAGCGCUGAAGAUGUGACCAGAAGCACAGGAGUGGCAGGGGCCCCAGGGUGCGGAGCAAAGAGGAGAAAAAAAAAAGGAGGAAAGGGCCGCAGGGGAACUUAAUCUAGGAGUCUGGAGCGGGGCAGCUUCCUCUGGGUGAUGCUAAUAGAACAGCUCUAAGGGGAUGCCAAAGGUCAAGUACUGAGAAGCUGGAUUUGCAUAGAAACCUAAGCAGUCGAAUCUAGAGGCAGGAGAGCCAGUGAACUGCCCCGCAGAUGUUUCUGCAAUGAGGCAACAUCCUGUAACCCACUGUGCAAAGCCAUUGGCCAUUAGGCACCCGUGGCUGGUGAGCGCAGUCAAUGUGACUGCGAUUCUGAGAGGAAACUGGAUUUUUCAUUUAACUCAUUUCGUGUAACUUGAGUAGCCAUAUAUGUGGCCUGUGACCACCGAACUGGACAGUGCAGAAUAGGAUAAUCACUCAGGGGCCCCACCUCUUUUGAGAAAACUCCAUCAAGUCGAUGCCAAGACAUGAAUCCCAAGGGGUUCCCUGGUGUCUUAGAUGCUAAAGGAUUAUUAUCAGAACUCCCCCAGCAGAGGGCAUGGUGAGCAAAGGGUAUGGAAGCAGAUGCAGUUGACCCUCCAUUUUUCUUCUGUGACCUUGGGCGACACACUGAAUCAGUAUCAUCCUUUGUUUCCGAAUUUGCCUAGAAGGUAUUAACACACUCCUCUCCUCUGAGUGUCCUGAUGAUUAAAUUAAGCAAGUUUACCAAACAUUAUAAAGGUGAUUCUCCCCUCUUUGGCUGUUUCCGGUGUUUUCUUGCUGUUGUUUAGUCUCUAAGUCUUGCCCAGCUCUUCUGGGACCCCAUGGACUGUAGCCCACCAGGCUCCUCUUGGCAGUGGACUUCCCGCAAGGAUGCUGAAGCGGGUUGCGGUUUCUUCCCCGGGGGAUCUUCCCGACCCAGGGAUUGGACAUGCAUCUCUUGCAUCAAAGGUGGAUUCUUUGCCGCUGAGUCACUGCGGAAGCCCCACUUCUGGUGUUUAAUCACAUAGCCAAUUUAUCCCAGGGUCAGUAGAGACUCAGUAUAAUACAAAUAAAGAGAAUUAUCACAGUAGAACAGCAACAACAGUAAGAUCAGCUAGCAAUUCAUUUUGUAGUGUCUGUACCAGCUAAUUAGCUUUGCUAUAACAAAGAACUCAGAAUGUAACGGCUUAAAGGAGAAAGGUGUUUAUUUCUCUCCCAUAUUCCUGCCCCAAGUUGAGCGAUGCAGGGUGAUGAGGUCAUUCAGCUGCAGGACACCCAUGUCUCCCCUGUCGGGCUCCCCCAGGACCACCUAGGGCAGAGAAACUGCAGCUCUAGCCCAGCCUGCUGCCUGAGUCUGCGUACAGAAGCUCACUGGGAUGCAACCACACCCCAGUGAAUACGUGUUAUCUAGGGCUGCUUUGAGGCUGCAAGCACAGAGAUGGGAAUUGCAGAGACUUCAGGGCCACGAAGUGUGAAAUAUUUGCUAUCUGAUCCUUU